CAGAGGUUAACUUCUGGACAACUUGGAAACCGAAAUGACUUCAAGUUGCAGUACAUUUGUACAGUCUCUCUGGAGGUGCCCUAUGGAGUCAAACAACCAAGUUGUGAAACUGUCUCACUGGUUGUCACUGAAAAAUCCAUCAGUAAGGAGGAAAGACCCAAUGGAUUUACUUGAAAAUAUGGUCAAUGAUAGAUCUAAAUGGGAAGUCACAAAAACUGUGGAUCAACCGAGAUGAGGCAAUUAAAAGUUUCAAAUACAUAAGAAAGAAACUCUGGAACA